AUCAGUCCGUACGACUGACUCGAAUCGGUUUUGACCGUAUAUAGAUAGUCCCCUCGUUUCUCGGAAAAGGAUGUGGCGAGAAACGAUAUGAUUUCCCAACAGCUCCAUCAGAUAUAUACUAACAUUUUCAUCGAUCCCGACCAUGACGUAUGUGAUAGUUGUCCCAUCGGUUCGGUUUUACCGAGGCAUUUAAUGUGUCAGACGGUGGUCGGCCACCUCUGAUAUUGAACCGUCAUUGCUUCAAUUUAUAAAUAGCCUUUCCUUCCACCAUUCAUCAUUUUAUGUCUUCAGUCUUCAAAAUUUUGCAAAUUCCUUUUCUGAGUUUUCUGCUUGUAAACCUAUGAGUUUUACUGCAAAUUCUUCCUUAGAACUCCAAAUACUUCUGUCCUUUGUUUGUGAAAUUUUAAAUGGCAAAAACGUUUAAAAAUGUUCCGCAAAAAGAGAUCGCUUCUUCAUCUCGACCUACUGGUGGUGAGGAUGUGGAAGAGCCCCGCCCUGAGGAAUUCGUUCCGGUUGGGUGUUCGACCGUAGGCGAUUUCAAAAUUGAAAAGCCUUCUCCGAUACCGGGUCGAUGCGAGCCGAUAUCGAGGAAUCAAUGUUCAAUCACCGAAAAGGUUCUCGAUAAAGUCAUACAAGAAUGCAACUGGGAUAAUAAAUUCGUAGUAAUCACAUCACCCGGUGAAUCAAUUACUACGUACGUCGAAGGGUUCUUAAGUAUUUAUACUUAUCCUUUCACGUUGGGACCCUUAGACCCUGUCAUCGUCGCCUUUUGUAAGAGGUACGAUGUGACCCUCGGCCAAAUCCACCCUUCCUAUUAGAGGAUAGUGAUUUUUCUUCGAUUUUUCUCGAGCAAGGUCGAGGGGCGUGUCUUCAACCUCGAUCAUCUUAUGCGUCUUUACAGUCCCCAACUUUAUCGAGGAGGGAUGAUCAAGCUUGCACGCCGAGCAACCAAAGCACCAUUCUCGAGCAUAGACGAGACCCGGGAUCGGGGUUGGAUGGGCCGUUUUGUUCGAAUCAUGACCUCGGAUCUGAUCCCUGCCGAUAACUUGCCAUUUCCCGAGAAAUGGAAUAUGAGCCUCGUUGCUCGAAUGCCGGAACCGAUCCCGGAUCUUAGACAAUGGGUCGAAAGCCUAGUGUUGCAGAGACCGUACUUCUAGCGUGCUUGGGUCGAAUUAUCAAAGGGUCGAUGGGAGGCCAGCAGUCAUGGUAAAUUUUUUUGUCGAUUUGUCUCUUCAUCGGUUUGUACGGUAAAUCUCCCCCUUCCCUUUUGUAGGACUUGGGAAAGAUGUAGUCAUGAGGCCGUCGUCCGGUGGCGAAGAGGUUCCUGUCCCGAAGAAGGUGAAAGAAAGGAAGAGAAAAGACGUACCGGGCUUCUCGAACUCGGAAAAGAAGAAACCGGCUAAAAGAUCUCGGAAGCCGAAGGGGGGCCCUAGUGUUGUGUCUUCGGAAGCGGUCCGCCAUUUAAGGGACGAGCCCGAAGAAGGAGAGGAGAAUUUAGCCUGCGUACGGGCUAAUGUUGUGAUUCAAUAGUCUUCCAAUUUGGUGGAAGCAGAUCGGGGAACUUUGGCCAUAAUCCCAGAACAAGAAGCCAAGAUUAUCCCUUCUCAAGCUAAGAUGAUUGGAAGGGAUACCGAGGGUGGAUCUUCUCCAGCAGUAGAAGAUAUUUUAAGGGAUGAGUUCAGGAUAGUUGACAUCGGCGGAUCCCCUCAAUUUUCAGAUGCCAUGAUUCGAGAGGCCGUCAUGUUGGAGGAUCGGUCCUAUGAGGGUUUUCAGGAGUCGGCCGAUAUCCACGAUUUUCUGGAGGGGCUCGAGUCAGGUGCCUCGGAGGAGGUUACUGGUUUUGGUGGAAUGCCGGUACCCAAAAAAUCGUUGUGGUCGGGUUCCUCCGAGCCUUCUUCGAUUCAUAAACUGGUGGACUGAUUUCCGGCCUCGAGUAUCGAUCCCGACCGAAGGCGGAAGAUAGUGCUCUCCGUACCUGCGGAUAGCCGAAUUUUUUCUUCCCCUGUGGGGAUUGCCAGUUACCUUCGGUCCUUGGUGACCGAAGAAGAUCAAUCAGUGAUGAAUGCGGUGGGGACCGCCUGUCUCUUCAAUGAGGCCAACAUGCUUUGAAUCGGGCUUCGGUGUUGCAUCACGAGGCCUUUCUUCGAAUCAGGAAGGAGCAUGAUGUCGAGGUUCGGAGCCUCACUGAGAAGAAUGACUCGUACAGGCUUCUUAGUGAAAAACUUUGAGCAGAUUUGAUAGCGGCUCGGGAAGAGCAUGAGGAGAUGGCUGAGCAGGUGCGGCAGAGGAUCGAGCAGAUUGGACGGCUUAACUCACAGGUAGAUGCGCUGAUGGCCGAGGCAGAAGAAUAUAAAAAGUGUAUGGAUAACCUUGCCUUGAAAAAGGAAACCGUCGAAGCUCAGUUGGAGCUGUCAGAUGCCCAACUUCGAUCUGUGAAAGAAAAUGUUUUGGGGCUGAUUGAAAAGAUGAAAGAGCUUCAGCAUCAGUUGGAUUUGGCCAGUUUAGAUAAAGCAGAUUUGGCCAAAGAACUCGAAGUGGCCAGAUCUGAAGUAGUCGAGGUCAACAAAAGAGCCGAUGCCAAAGUGGCUCAGUUAAGGAUCGAUGUCGAGGUUAAUCAAACCAAAGCCGCGAGCAUGAUCGAGCAUGCAAAGUGGUAGGCUCGGAGAGAGGCUCUCGAGGAGGUUAGAGCUCAGGGCUUCGAUGUUGGGGCCGAGAUCAAAGUCGCCAGGGCGGAACAGAACAAAGCUCGGUGGUUGGCCUUUCCUGAGGAGGACUCCGAUGACUCGGGGGAGUCUGAAGACGAGGAUGAUGCCGAGAAUACGGCCUCCGAUGAAGAUUGAGUCAUUUAGGGCCUUAGGUCGAUCGUUGCGUUCUUUUGAUACCGCUUUCGGCUUUUGUAUAAAGAACUUCCCUUUGGAAGAGUAGCCGCCUCUUUACAAAAAAAUUAUAAAUAUAAAUCUUUCUUCUUUUUGAAGAAAAAUAGCCUUUCAAACUGAA